AACGAACGCUGGCGGCAUGCCUAACACAUGCAAGUCGAACGAGACCUUCGGGUCUAGUGGCGCACGGGUGCGUAACGCGUGGGAACCUGCCCUUAGGUUCGGAAUAACUCCCCGAAAGGGGUGCUAAUACCGGAUAAUGUCUUCGGACCAAAGAUUUAUCGCCGUUGGAUGGGCCCGCGUUGGUUUAGCUAGUUGGUAGGGUAAAAGCCUACCAAGGCGACGAUCCAUAGCUGGUCUGAGAGGAUGAUCAGCCACACUGGGACUGAGACACGGCCCAGACUCCUACGGGAGGCAGCAGUGGGGAAUAUUGGACAAUGGGCGAAAGCCUGAUCCAGCAAUGCCGCGUGAGUGAUGAAGGCCUUAGGGUUGUAAAACUCUUUUACCCGGGAGGAUAAUGACAGUACCGGGAGAAUAAGCUCCGGCUAACUCCGUG
rnacentral:rRNA from 1 species